AUUGAACGCUGGCGGCAGGCCUAACACAUGCAAGUCGAGCGGAUGAAGGGAGCUUGCUCCUGGAUUCAGCGGCGGACGGGUGAGUAAUGCCUAGGAAUCUGCCUGGUAGUGGGGGAUAACGUCCGGAAACGGGCGCUAAUACCGCAUACGUCCUGAGGGAGAAAGUGGGGGAUCUUCGGACCUCACGCUAUCAGAUGAGCCUAGGUCGGAUUAGCUAGUUGGUGGGGUAAAGGCCUACCAAGGCGACGAUCCGUAACUGGUCUGAGAGGAUGAUCAGUCACACUGGAACUGAGACACGGUCCAGACUUCUACGGGAGGCAGCAGUGGGGAAUAUUGGACAAUGGGCGAAAGCCAGAUCCAGCCAUGCCGCGUGUGUGAAGAAGGUCUUCGGAUUGUAAAGCACUUUAAGUUGGGAGGAAGGGCAGUAAGUUAAUACCUUGCUGUUUUGACGUUACCAACAGAAUAAGCACCGGCUAACUUCGUG
rnacentral:rRNA from 1 species